rnacentral:rRNA from 1 species
GCAGCCACUCAUUCAAAGAGUGCGUAAUAGCUCACUGGUCGAGUGAUCCUGCGCCGAAGAUUUCCGGGGCUAAAACUUACUACCGAAGCUACGGCAUCAGUAAUGAUGGGUAGGGGAGCUUCCCAUACGGGUUGAAGCAUGACCGUAAGGACAUGUGGACAGUAUGGGAGUGAGAAUGUUGGCAUGAGUAGCGAGAUGUGGGUGAGAAUCCCACAGGCCGUAAACCCAAGGUUUCCAGGGGAAGGUUCGUCCGCCCUGGGUUAGUCGGGACCUAAGCUGAGGCCGAAAGGCGUAGGUGAUGGACAACAGGUUGAUAUUCCUGUACUACCGAUAACCGUUUGAGAGAAGGGAUGACACAGUAGGAUAAGCUAAGCACACUGUUGGUUAUGUGUGCCCAAGCAUUGAGGCAGUCAAAGUAGGCAAAUCCGCUUUGAUAAUGCUGGGAUGUGAUGGGGAGCGAAAUUUAGUAGCGAAGUAGCUGAUUUCACACUGUCAAGAAAAGUCUCUAUCGAGGUUAAAGGUACCCGUACCGCAAACCGACACAGGUGGGUGAGGAGAGUAUCCUAAGGCCAGCGAGAGAACUGUUGUUAAGGAACUCGGCAAAAUGACCCCGUAACUUAGGGAUAAGGGGUGCCACCAUCAGGUGGCCGCAGAGAAUAGGCCCAAGCGACUGUUUAC